rnacentral:rRNA from 1 species
UACGUAGGGGCUAGCGUUAUCCGGAAUUACUGGGCGUAAAGGGUGCGUAGGCGGUCUUUCAAGCCAGAAGUGAAAGGCUACGGCUCAACCGUAGUAAGCUUUUGGAACAGUAAGACUUGAGUGCAGGAGAGGAGAGUGGAAUUCCUAGUGUAGCGGUGAAAUGCGUAGAUAUUAGGAGGAACACCUGUAGCGAAGGCGGCUCUCUGGACUGUAACUGACGCUGAGGCACGAAAGCGUGGGGAGCAAACAGGAUUAGAUACCCCUGUAGUCCCU